AUGGCGAGAAGGUCACACCCGUUCCCAUCCCGAACACGGUAGUUAAGCUUCUCUGCGCCAAUGGUAGUUGGGGGUUUACCCCUGCGAGAGUAGGUCGCUGCCGGGC
rnacentral:rRNA from 1 species